UACGGACGGUGCAAGCGUUAUCCGGAUUUAUUGGGUUUAAAGGGUCCGUAGGCGGAUCUGUAAGUCAGUGGUGAAAUCUCAUAGCUUAACUAUGAAACUGCCAUUGAUACUGCAGGUCUUGAGUAAGGUAGAAGUAGCUGGAAUAAGUAGUGUAGCGGUGAAAUGCAUAGAUAUUACUUAGAACACCAAUUGCGAAGGCAGGUUACUAUGUCUUAACUGACGCUGAUGGACGAAAGCGUGGGGAGCAAACAGG
rnacentral:rRNA from 1 species